GAGACCCGCUCUGGGCAGCCUGGGCAAGGCUCUGGCACCUCCCAGCAAAGACGUUUCUCCUCCUGUUCAGUGUGUCAGGCUGUGCCCGCUGCCCCGCGCUCUGGGGCUCGGGAGGUCUGACUCAGCUCCUGCCUGAGAAGUUGUCGCUGUGCUGAACCGCAAAGCUAGGUGCUCAUUUCCUAAAACCCUAAAAACACUGAUGCUGUGACAGGUGUCUCAAAUCAGAUCUCCACUGUUGUCUAAUGUGGCAUCUCCUCCGCAGAGAGACUUUCUUUCUAUUUUUUCAAUGGAUAUCGGUGCUAAUGCUGUGCAGGACAAGCGCUAGAUGGACAUCUCUGCUAAUUAAAUUUAAAAUAUAGCUUGAAAAUACAUAUGCCACGUAGAAGCCAAGCAUCAGAAGUUACUCCAGCCGUUAUCCUGAAGACGCUAUAAGACCCAACAACUCAAGGAAGGUCUUUGUUCCGUGGUGAUCCCUAUUAAGUUAUCCAUACGUGCCUGGGAUGGUGGGUGACAACACAACUGUUCUUUGGAGAACCCUGAAUUCCAGCUGAGGGGGCAGGUACGGGAACAAACCUGAAACACGUAGCGUUCCUUUGUUCUGAACAACUGUCACUGGAAGUUAAACCUAACUCGUUACGUUCCUUGUGCGUAUUUACAGGCUUUUUUGGCAGAGACGGUGCCAGCUGCAGUGACAUCUGUACAGCGGUAAGGCUUGGGAGAAAUUAUUCAUUCUGCGUUUAGGCUAGAGAUAGUACGGAAAGAAGAGAUUACAGAAGUAAGAGAAGUUUCCACAGGUCAAAAGCUCCUGUUGUCCUGUCUUCUUUCAAGAUGUUUCUCCCGCAUUUCAGCCACUCAACCAACUGCACCGAAGACACAUUUCUAGUCAACCGCUUCUAAAACUGCCACAACACCGACUUGCCGCCUGUUCGUGUUCUCAUUGUUUCCUGCUCCUGGCGCCCGCUCCCUGCGCUGAAGGUGUCUCUGCUGCUUCCCCCGUUUCCAGCCAUGCUCAUUCUCCCGCCUCCUUUUCACGCGCGUGGAAAAUGGAUCUCUGCACUCUGCUAAAAAUAGUUCCCUCAUUUUCUAAAAGACACGAUAGCCAUUAUUUUUUUCUCCAGUAACCAUGCUUUAGCGACUUGAUAAGUGAAUUUCAGGCAGUAUUUCCAUUUCAAUUAUUUACCAUCAAAAGGCACUUUUUUUCCCCGCAGACUGAAUCCGUAGUGCAGCAGAGAGUUUAUAAAAAGAAAGACUCUUAUCAUUGUCUGUCUUUAUUAUCUAUGCAGCCCAUAUUCACAGAAAAUUAAACAUCUCAGCACAUCAGUACAGUCCCCCAUGUUAGUUAUCUUAGUAUUAGAAAAUGCUUUUGGGGACGCAUUGAUAGAAAUCCUCAUACGACAACUCAUUUAAGCAAGCGUGUGUUUCUCUGUUGAGUCUCUGAACUACCAAGGACAGAGUUUAGCAGCUAAAUACACUUCCCUAUGAGUCCCUCUUGAACGCGCAAUCCCAAACGGGACAUCAGUGUGACAGAUUAAAACACCAAGAAAUACCAAACAUCCAAAAGAAAACGGAAAAGUGCCCAAAUCUAACACACAGCAUCAGAAUAAUAUUUCCAAAAGCGUUAUUGGUGGGACACACGCAUCAGGCCCUGUGGAUUCAUCCAAAUACUCAUCUUCAGUAAGCAAUAUUCCUAAACUGGCAGUCUGCAAAGAAAUAUCUGUGUUAGAGCCUUUUUCAUUCUGAUCGCCAGAGAGUUUGUGCUGAAUGUUGAAGGCGAAAACAAAGACUUCAUUGAGAGAAAUAUGGAGAGUGUCUCAUUCAUGACAAGGAGAAAAAGGAAUCGGGAAGAUAAUAUGACAUUUCACAGGCAUGCCAAUCCCAGUGAAUAGCAGCGCAAGAGCACUUUUCUAAAUCAUUCUCCGCAGUAAAUUGCCUGCACACAGUCUAUUCACAGACGUCUUUGCUCUGCCCAUCUAAAGUAGCUAUUCUCCCAGCAGCUCAAGAGUAAAUACACACUUGUGACGCAUCCAGAGAUCACUGACUGCAUUCAAGUGCCUGUUGUAAAAGCCCCGCUCUGGAGUUGAGCGAGGCGCUUCAGUCACAGCCUAAAGGUCAGCAGUGACAGCUUCAUUUCUCUGCUCUGCACUGGGGAUUUUACCACGCAAAGCUCUGGUGUCAUCUGGGAGCGCGGUGUAGAUCAGCUCUCCCAGCCGCACAAGUCCUAGUUUUAAGUCAACAACCUCUGCUCAAAACCAGCUGUGACACGGCCCUCAAAUGACAGAAUCCACCCCCAAAAUUCAUCUGUCCUGUAAGACCAACACCCCAGAUUGUCGCAGCUUUCAAUGGAAAAUGCGAGCUGUUUAUCGACAAGUCGUUCUUCCAAUUCUGAAUAAUUUCAGAGUUGUAUCUAGAAAUGAUCACGAAAGGUGGUUCUAUCAUGGCAAACCCAAAUAUACUUUAUAAAUUCACGUAAGAUUCAGUGAGCGUGAAGCAAAGCGAGCAGGAUAAGAAGACCCUAUCUUUAAGUGGGAACAUGUGGGUGUUUCAUCGUCCGGUUUGUACCUAAAAUCACUAAGUUACAUCCAUCGGCAUGAGGAGGAAACAGUUUGAAUGCUGGAGAAAAGAGGGCCAGGCACCACGUGCCCAGUGCGGCGGCACAAAACGCGUCUUGAGGCGCCCGCACCGACUGUGGCCAAGAUUCGUUUCCAACAUUGGCUCGCUAUCUGCGGCCGGUGAAUAAAAGGUCACUGGAAUUUCAACUCCAAAUUUAAUUAAUUAAUCCCUUCAGGCCAGUUAGAUUAUUGCAAGUUAGAAACAUGACUAAGACCUUGUAUUGUGUAGAAAAAUCGCUACAGCGUAGCUGCUGUAAAUUUGAACUAAUCACAUUCACAGAAUGGCACCUUCUUUGUGUUUGCUCUUAGGAUCAUUGGAAAAUACAGGUUGGAAAGGACCUGCGGGUCUCCAGGUUCCCGCCAGGAAUCCAGUCAGACCAAGUUACCCGGAGCUUGUGAAAAGGAACUCAAGAUAGCGACCUCUAAAUGAAACCCAAAUAUCCCUUAAUUCCACUACUGCCACUCCUUAAAAGACCACAGUGAGCUGCCCUUAAAAACACAUUGCCAAUAGUCAUUUGUCCCGUGUAUUAAUUUAUUUGGUUUGAAUUAUAUAAAAUCCCUGUAAAGGAAGUCAUAUGUAUUAAUAGGAGAACAGAGUUAACGUCUAGGAAAAAAAAUACAGCUUGCUAUUAUUCCUGACUUUCAUUAAAAUAAUCUAAUGCUGACAGAUUUGAAAGCGAUCUUUUGUCUCUCAGUGUUUUGCUGACAAAGUACUGCUUAAUACAUUUGGUAAUUUACUAAAUGCUUUAGACAACAGCGUGAAAGUACAAUAGGAAAUUAAAGAUUUAUAUUUGUGAGCCCUUUGAGGAAAUAAUCUGAAUUCUGCUGUUUCAAGCUAAUGUGUUGUCAUAGCAUGUUUUGGAGACGAAAAGUGGAGUGAGAACCUGAAGUGAGAGAUGAGAUAUGCUGGUUAAUCCCAAAUUAUUGAUUACACAAACUGGAAGGUUUUUCGGGGCUCAGCUUCGGCAGACAGCAAAUACAAGGCUAAAUUGCUUUUUCCAACCAGCUCAUCUGAGCAUGGGCCACUGAUCCAGCAAGUGCAGCCUGUUGAAGUGUGUGGUGUUGUACUAACAGCCAGAGCAGCCUGUUGAAGUGCGUGGUGUUGUACUAACAGCCACAGCAGCCUGUUGAAGUGCGUGGUGUUGUACUAACAGCCACAGCAGCCUGUUGAAGUGUGUGGUGUUGUACUAACAGCCACAGCAGCCUGUUGAAGUGUGUGGUGUUGUACUAACAGCCAGAGCAGCCUGUUGAAGUGUGUGGUGUUGUACUAACAGCCACAGCAGCCUGUUGAAGUGCGUGGUGUUGUACUAACAGCCAGAGCAGCCUGUUGAAGUGUGUGUUGUUGUACUAACAGACACAGCUCAGGCACCAUAGUAGUUAAGAGUGUAGAAAAAAGACACUUAAUUUGACCUAAAUAGCAGUGAGCUUACAGUCUGUUAACUUGCACAACCAACAUAAAACACCGCUAUAAUAUUAACGCAGCCUCUGGAAAAACUUGUCUCGUAUGCACAAUGCUGACCUCCUUUGACAGUUAUUUUUGGCAAGUCGUAUCUAAUCUAUAGUCUGACAUUAGUGAACUGACUCGUAGUUUAUAACCAACAAACGGGGUUUGGUUACAGUUCCGCACAAGCACACUUUCAUCUUUUAAGGCUUAUUUAGUAUCAACAUGUUUAACUAAGACAGAUUCCUCUAGGAUCCGUACUUGCAUUAUGAGAAGGAAGGUUCCCAGAUUUUACUUCUAGCCCUCGCACUGAAACCAGCCCGCAGCACAAUGUCACAGCACCGAAAUCAAUCCAACUCCUGCUCCUGUCGGCUCCAGCCCAUCAAGGGACAAAGUCAGGGCCAUGUGCCUACUGCCUGACCGAGAGCUGCUGCUCAGCCAGCUUCCCCGAGCCCACGGAGUCUUCUUACCACGUCUUUGCCAUAAUCCACCCGCCACCUCGUCUGAGCAUCAACGGAGCUCUUCCAGCUGCCAUCACCAUUCCACCUUGCAGACGCCCAUUCCAGCAGGAAGGCCAACUGUCUCCCACUAAACUUGCUUUCCAGGCCAAAACCAGCGCGGCGUUGGGGUAAAAGCACCGCUGUUUUACAAACACGUUUCAACUAAACCCACGUUCCAGAGUCCUUGUUCUCCAGAGGAGCAUGAGAUCUACUGGCCGCAACUGAUACCCACGUAUUCUAGUUGUUAGUAAGGUCAAAAAUAAAAUCCAAGAAGCUUUGAUACUAAAAAA